UGCGGAGAUGCUGAACGGUUUAGGCACUUGACUCAUAACCAAGCUUUAGUGGGUUCGACUCCCACCUACCGCAA
rnacentral:tRNA from 1 species